rnacentral:rRNA from 1 species
AGCAGCCGCGGUAAUUCCAGCUCCAAUAGCGUAUAUUAAAGUUGCUGCAGUUAAAAAGCUCGUAGUUGAAUUUCGGGACCGAUAUAUCGGUCGUGCCUCGGUACGUACUGGUAUUUUCGGUUUCUACCUUCUGACGAACCUUGAUGUCAUUAAUUUGGUGUCUUGGGGAAUCAGGACUGUUACUUUGAAAAAAUUAGAGUGUUUAAAGCAGGCUCACGCUUGAAUACAUUAGCAUGGAAUAAUGAAAUAGGACGUUUGAUUCUAUUUUGUUGGUUUCUAGGAUCGACGUAAUGAUUAAUAGGGAUAGUUGGGGGCAUUAGUAUUCAAUUGUCAGAGGUGAAAUUCUUGGAUUUAUUGAAGACUAACUACUGCGAAAGCAUUUGCCAAGGAUGUUUUCAUUAAUCAAGAACGAAAGUUAGGGGAUCGAAGACGAUCAGAUACC